AUACGUAGGGGGCGAGCGUUGUCCGGAAUGACUGGGCGUAAAGGGCGUGUAGGCGGUCUUGCAAGUCAGAAGUGAAAUUCCUGAGCUCAACUCGGGCGCUGCUUCUGAAACUGCAGGACUUGAGUGCUGGAGGGGAUAGCGGAAUUCCUAGUGGAGCGGUAAAAUGCGCAGAUAUUAGGAAGAACACCGGUGGCGAAGGCGGCUAUCUGGACAGUAACUGACGCUGAGGCGCGAAAGCGUGGGGAGCAAACAGGAUUAGAUGCCCUGGUAGUCCACGCCGUAAACGAUGAAUACUAGGUGUAGGGGGUAUCGACUCCCUCUGUGCCGCAGUUAACACAAUAAGUAUUCCGCCUGGGGAGUACGGCCGCAAGGUUGAAACUCAAAUGAAUUGACGGGG
rnacentral:rRNA from 1 species